rnacentral:rRNA from 1 species
UACGUAGGGUGCGAGCGUUACUCGGAAUUACUGGGCGUAAAGCGUGCGCAGGCGGUCAUGUAAGACAGUUGUGAAAUCCCCGGGCUCAACCUGGGAACUGCAUCUGUGACUGCAUUGCUGGAGUACGGUAGAGGGGGAUGGAAUUCCGCGUGUAGCAGUGAAAUGCGUAGAUAUGCGGAGGAACACCGAUGGCGAAGGCAAUCCCCUGGACCUGUACUGACGCUCAUGCACGAAAGCGUGGGGAGCAAACAGG